UCCGCGAUGGUCUAGUGGCUAGGAUACAUCGCUCUCAGCAUUCGUAUCGAUUAAGAAUUGGUACGAUUCUCGGUCCGAUGUGGCCGGGGUUCGAUUCCCCGUCGCGGAA